GUGGGGAAUUUUGGACAAUGGGCGCAAGCCUGAUCCAGCAAUGCCGCGUGCAGGAAGAAGGCCUUCGGGUUGUAAACUGCUUUUGUACGGAACGAAACGGUUCUGGUUAAUACCCUGGGCUAAUGACGGUACCGUAAGAAUAAGCACCGGCUAACUACGUGCCAGCAGCCGCGGUAAUACGUAGGGUGCGAGCGUUAAUCGGAAUUACUGGGCGUAAAGCGUGCGCAGGCGGUUUUGUAAGACAGGCGUGAAAUCCCCGGGCUCAACCUGGGAAUGGCGCUUGUGACUGCAAAGCUGGAGUGCGGCAGAGGGGGAUGGAAUUCCGCGUGUAGCAGUGAAAUGCGUAGAUAUGCGGAGGAACACCGAUGGCGAAGGCAAUCCCCUGGGCCUGCACUGACGCUCAUGCACGAAAGCGUGGGGAGCAAACAGGAUUAGAAACCCUUGUAGUCC
rnacentral:rRNA from 1 species